rnacentral:lncRNA from 1 species
UAUUGGACUUGGAAUCUUAGGAAACAUCCUUAUAUUUGUGAGACAUGUGCAUACAUUUAUCGUGAGUUCUGAGAAAAAAAAAAACCUAUAGACUUUAUCUUCACUUAUCUGGUAUAUUCACAUGUAAUCAUUAUUUGUACUUCAGGGGUCAGAUAUAUAGCCACAGAAUUUCAUUUCAAAAACAUUCUGGGUGAUAUGAGCUGUAAAACUGUGGUUUGUUUGGGAAGGGUAGCCCAGGGCCUUUCCAUCUGCACCUCUGUCUCCUCAGCAUGUUCCAGGCUGUCACCAUCAGUCCCAGAACCUCCUUGUGGAGAAAGUUCAGACCACAGACAGCAUGACAAGUUCUUCUCUGUCUACACCUCCUUUGGAUCUUUAAAGUUCUCAUAAGCUCCAACUUGCUUCAUCAUAUCACAGUGGGCAGCCAUUUAAAUAGAUAUAGAGCUGGUGUGUAUUCUGGGUAUUGCUAUAUGCUGCCAUCUAGGUGUAUAGCUAAGUGGCUUUUCCUCUCAUGACACUU